AACCUAAAGACAAAAAGAAAUCAAUGUUCUGCUAGUUUCAGAGAUGAGAGGGAGAGGAAAUGUAGCAGAGAUGCCCAUUCCACUCCCAGUUUACUCAGUAGCUGGAGAUUAGAAGAUGCUCUGUGACAGUG
rnacentral:snoRNA from 1 species